AGAGUUUGAUCAUGGCUCAGAUUGAACGCUGGCGGCAGGCCUAACACAUGCAAGUCGAGCGGCAGCGGGAAAGUAGCUUGCUACUUUUGCCGGCGAGCGGCGGACGGGUGAGUAAUGCCUGGGGAUCUGCCCAGUCGAGGGGGAUAACUACUGGAAACGGUAGCUAAUACCGCAUACGCCCUACGGGGGAAAGCAGGGGACCUUCGGGCCUUGCGCGAUUGGAUGAACCCAGGUGGGAUUAGCUAGUUGGUGAGGUAAUGGCUCACCAAGGCGACGAUCCCUAGCUGGUCUGAGAGGAUGAUCAGCCACACUGGAACUGAGACACGGUCCAGACUCCUACGGGAGGCAGCAGUGGGGAAUAUUGCACAAUGGGGGAAACCCUGAUGCAGCCAUGCCGCGUGUGUGAAGAAGGCCUUCGGGUUGUAAAGCACUUUCAGCGAGGAGGAAAGGUUGGUAGCUAAUAACUGCCAGCUGUGACGUUA
rnacentral:rRNA from 1 species